CCUACGGGAGGCAGCAGUGAGGAAUAUUGGUCAAUGGGCGGAAGCCUGAACCAGCCAAGUCGCGUGAGGGAAUAAGGCCCUACGGUUCGUAAACCUCUUUUGCCGGGGAGCAAGGGCGGGGACGUGUCCCGGCCCGGAGAGUACCCGGAGAAAAAGCAUCGGCUAACUCCGUUCCAGCAGCCGCGGUAAUACGGAGGAUGCGAGCGUUAUUCGGAUUUAUGGGGUUAAAGGGGUGCGUAGGCGGGCUUUUAAGUCAGCGGUAAAAAUUCGGGGCUCAACCCCGUCCGGCCGUUGAAACUGGGGGCCUUGAGUGGGCGAGAAGAAAGCGGAAUGCGUGGUGUAGCGGUGAAAUGCAUAGAUAUCACGCAGAACACCGAUUGCGAAGGCAGACUUCCGGAGCCCUACUGACGCUGAGGCACGAAAGUGCGGGGAUCGAACAGGAUUAGAUACCCUGGUAGUC
rnacentral:rRNA from 1 species